GAUGAACGCUGGCGGCGUGCCUAAUACAUGCAAGUCGAGCGAACGGACGAGAAGCUUGCUUCUCUGAUGUUAGCGGCGGACGGGUGAGUAACACGUGGAUAACCUACCUAUAAGACUGGGAUAACUUCGGGAAACCGGAGCUAAUACCGGAUAAUAUUUUGAACCGCAUGGUUCAAAAGUGAAAGACGGUCUUGCUGUCACUUAUAGAUGGAUCCGCGCUGCAUUAGCUAGUUGGUAAGGUAACGGCUUACCAAGGCAACGAUGCAUAGCCGACCUGAGAGGGUGAUCGGCCACACUGGAACUGAGACACGGUCCAGACUCCUACGGGAGGCAGCAGUAGGGAAUCUUCCGCAAUGGGCGAAAGCCUGACGGAGCAACGCCGCGUGAGUGAUGAAGGUCUUCGGAUCGUAAAACUCUGUUAUUAGGGAAGAACAUAUGUGUAAGUAACUGUGCACAUCUUGACGGUACCUAAUCAGAAAGCCACGGCUAACUACGUGCCAGCAGCCGCGGUAAUACGUAGGUGGCAAGCGUUAUCCGGAAUUAUUGGGCGUAAAGCGCGCGUAGGCGGUUUUUUAAGUCUGAUGUGAAAGCCCACGGCUCAACCGUGGAGGGUCAUUGGAAACUGGAAAACUUGAGUGCAGAAGAGGAAAGUGGAAUUCCAUGUGUAGCGGUGAAAUGCGCAGAGAUAUGGAGGAACACCAGUGGCGAAGGCGACUUUCUGGUCUGUAACUGACGCUGAUGUGCGAAAGCGUGGGGAUCAAACAGGAUUAGAUACCCUGGUAGUCCACGCCGUAAACGAUGAGUGCUAAGUGUUAGGGGGUUUCCGCCCCUUAGUGCUGCAGCUAACGCAUUAAGCACUCCGCCUGGGGAGUACGACCGCAAGGUUGAAACUCAAAGGAAUUGACGGGGACCCGCACAAGCGGUGGAGCAUGUGGUUUAAUUCGAAGCAACGCGAAGAACCUUACCAAAUCUUGACAUCCUUUGACAACUCUAGAGAUAGAGCUUUCCCCUUCGGGGGACAAAGUGACAGGUGGUGCAUGGUUGUCGUCAGCUCGUGUCGUGAGAUGUUGGGUUAAGUCCCGCAACGAGCGCAACCCUUAAGCUUAGUUGCCAUCAUUAAGUUGGGCACUCUAAGUUGACUGCCGGUGACAAACCGGAGGAAGGUGGGGAUGACGUCAAAUCAUCAUGCCCCUUAUGAUUUGGGCUACACACGUGCUACAAUGGAUAAUACAAAGGGCAGCGAAACCGCGAGGUCAAGCAAAUCCCAUAAAGUUGUUCUCAGUUCGGAUUGUAGUCUGCAACUCGACUACAUGAAGCUGGAAUCGCUAGUAAUCGUAGAUCAGCAUGCUACGGUGAAUACGUUCCCGGGUCU
rnacentral:rRNA from 1 species